rnacentral:tRNA from 1 species
GCCCCGAUAGCUCAGCUGGUAGAGCACAUCAUUCGUAAUGAUGGGGUCGGCGGUUCGAAUCCGUCUCGGGGCACCA